rnacentral:rRNA from 1 species
AACGAACGCUGGCGGCAUGCCUAACACAUGCAAGUCGAACGAGACCUUCGGGUCUAGUGGCGCACGGGUGCGUAACGCGUGGGAACCUUCCCUUAUGUUCGGAAUAACUCCCCGAAAGGGGUGCUAAUACCGGAUAAUGUCUUCUGACCAAAGAUUUAUCGCGUUUGGAUGGGCCCGCGUUGGAUUAGCUAGUUGGUAGGGUAAAAGCCUAACAAGGGGUCGAUCCAUAGCUGGUCUGAGAGGAAGAUCAGCAACACUGAGACUGAGACACGGCCCAGACUCCUACGGAAGGCAGCAGUGGGGAAUAGUGGACCAUGGGCGGAAGGCUGAUCCAGCAAUGCCGGGUAAGUGAUGAAGGCCUUAGGGUAGUAAAGCUCUUUUAACCGGGAUGAUAAUGACGGUACCGGGAGAAUAAGCCCCGGCUAACUCCGUG